rnacentral:rRNA from 1 species
CAGUCGCCGCGGUAAUACGGAGGGUGCAAGCGUUAAUCGGAAUUACUGGGCGUAAAGCGCACGCAGGCGGUCUGUCAAGUCAGUUGUGAAAUCCCCGGGCUUAACCUGGGAACUGCAUUUGAAACUGGCAGGCUAGAGUCUUGUAGAGGGGGGUAGAAUUCCAGGUGUAGCGGUGAAAUGCGUAGAGAUCUGGAGGAAUACCGGUGGCGAAGGCGGCCCCCUGGACAAAGACUGACGCUCAGGUGCGAAAGCGUGGGGAGCAAACAGGAUUAGAUACCCCUGUCCCUGUCUCUUAUACACA